AAACGUAAGGGAAAACUCAGUUAAACCCAGAUUAGCAUAAUAUAAGCCUUAUAGUUCCUUGUAAUACCGUCUUCCGUGCUCUUCCACCGAUCAUCAAAUCAAUAUUCGAAGAGAGUUUUAAAAUAGUGUAUAGGGAUCAUUAUGUUCUGCGAGUAUUCUACUGAAUGUAGCCUAAGUCUGUGAAUCUAGUUGUUUUCUUGACAGCGAAGCUUGUGGCAUCGCAUCUUGAUCUAGAAGUCAGAUGAACAUCUUUUAAACUGGUUGUUAAGAGUGUUGGUGAAGGAGACGAUGUAAAUACUAAAAGAAACCAAUAUGCUUAUUAAACUGCCCCCACCCUCUCCCAAAUUUCUUUUUGGUUGUUGUUGCACAGCGCAUUAGGCCAGGCUAAGCAAAAGGCGAGCAUAAGGUCUACAUUAUUUUGGCUGGACUUUACAGUUUUAGCGGUCUUUGUAGGACGAAUGACAAAAUCUGGAACUUCCCGAUGGCGACGGGAGAAGCUAACAAGUCGAGGAUUACUCUGCCUUGGUUACUCGUGAUGCCAGACCUGUUGUUUUCUUGAGUAAAUUUUAAAGAAUUGAAGUCUUGUUUCUAUUUGCAGUUGAUUCUGGACGUCUAAGAUACAAACAUAGUGAAUGUGAAUGGAGUUACUAGCAGCUCUGUAUGAAAUUCUGGAUUCGUGAGUGGUAAGUUCACUUCUUUUUUAUUUAUCAACAGAUUUGUUGCACGUUUAGUGCUGUUCUUGUCGAAAAUGAAUUUAUCCUGAUGUUGUGAGAUAAUGGAAAAGUGUCUAGUUUUUUUCCAAUCCAGUGAGGCAUAUUUUAUGUGCUGUCUGUCUUGCUCGUGUCAAAAGAUCACGGUGACUUUGUUGAGUCUCUAAUCAGAGGUCUUGCGUUUGUUUUCUCUCUCUACUUUGGUUAUUGGCAUUGGAUACUUUUUGCAUCAAGUUCAAGAGAGAAGGAUGACGUCUACUACUGUUACAAAGGGAAAACACAAAUCAACGGUUUGUGUUCAAGUUCCUUUUAAUCAUUGCUGUGUGUUUUAAAAUUGAUGAAACACAGUGUGCGUUUUUGUCUGCUCACUGCUACGUGAACAACUGAAGAUGGGGAGUAGUGUAGUAUUUGAACUUGAGGUAAAUACGACUGUCAUUUAAGUUUCAUUAGGAAGAGAUCUGUCUCACUUAAUGCGCCCUUACUUGCAUGCCAUUAAUUGUAACAUAGCUUUAACACUCAUAAUGCAUUUAUGUCUCCACUAUAGAAUUGUCUUUGAGGACUUCUCCUUUGUUCUAAAAGUAGCAUUGACGUAGUUAAGGCGAGGAAUUCUCGACCUUUGAGAUUUCAGGCUCACGGCCAUACGUACACGUACAUAAUGUAUACACCAUUGUUCUGUGACUGGCGACCUAUAUAGUGCUGAACCCCAUCUGGAUGUCAUUACUCCCGUACUCUUUGCUGUCGUGUUUUAAACGUACGAUUCUCCCCGCCGCUCUCGUCCUCUUUUUGCUUCCUCCUCUACUCAUGCUGGGCUUGUUGUUUGGGCGAUCUGGUGUGGUGCAUGCUCCUUCUCUGCAUUACAUUAUUUUGGCUGGACUCAACUGGACUGUACAGGUUUAGCGGUCCUUGCAGGACGAAAUAAAUCAGUCGUAAUUUAUUCCUUGCGAAGUGUGGCCGUUGUCAUGCUGGCUGUUUGUAUUACUUAAUCUCCAUUCUUCCGCCUCCCCCUUCCCCCUCCUCCUCCUCCUCUUCCUCCUCCUUGUCGUCGUCGUCGUCGUCCUCCACCUCCUCCUCCUCUGUCCUUUAUCUCCGUGUGCUAGCCACUACUAUAUUAUUAUAUCAGAUCACUACAACUGUCAUGACGGACACACGUAGGAGCGCCGUACAACCGAUAUUAUGAUGUCUGUUAUGUCGUAGCGCGCAGCUGGAGUAGCUGAAGAAUGUAUCCGGGUUAUUGAGUCUUUUCUGGGAAGAGCAAGCCAGAAAAGUAAAUGCUGUGUGUGAUAUUGUGUAGACAGACAAUGGUCACGUGAAAAUACA